CAGACCCUCCAGGAAGUUGCGAUGUUGCGAUCGCACCAAUUCACGCAAAUUCAACGAUUCCCCGCGAAUUCAGCGCAACGUUGCAAUUUUAACACAUCACCGCAACUUUCCCGCAAAUUUGACAAAUUAUUGUUGUCUCCCACAACUUUCUUCCUUCCGCUACACCAAGGGCGGAAAUUCUGCCCUGCAGGACGUCAGGUGACGAGACAGAUCACAGUGACACAGGCUGUUUUUUUUUUUUUCGUUUUAUGUGAAGGCUGAGAUAUUCAUAACAUUUUAUUCAGUCUUACUUGUGGUCCUUUUGUAAUACCAACAGGUGCACUUCGUUGUGGAUAAGUAAAUCCUAUGUACUGUUCCCCCUACGUGUUUAGCAUAACAUAGCAUAACUAGCUAUGUUUCUAGAUAACUGUCUAACAGCAGUUGCCAUUCCCACGAGUCGAACAUUUGAAUGAUGUCAAAGUAAAAGUCCUUUACUAUACUGUGUUCGUUUCCAUAACAACAAUUCAAGCAAUAUACAUUCUCUGACCUAAAUAAGCAAAGGGCAGAACAGCCUAUUAUGCUACAUUUUUGUAGUCCUGGUAAUCUUUAGUUUGGCAUGUUGGUAAGGUUAUUUAGAGGACCAUUUCCCAAUGUUUUUUUUUUUUUUUUAAAGAAUGUUUCUUUAUUAAUUCUUUAUUUUUCAACAAAUAACUCAAUUAUAAUUACAAAGAGGGAAAUUCGCAACUUUUAUCGCAACUUUCACUUGCUCCCGCAAUUUCAUCGCAACAAACACCUAAAAAACACUGCAACUUUCACCGCAACUUUUUGGAAAAGCCCCCGCGAAAUCAGUCAUUUUAGGCCGCAACUAUCACAAAAAAGGCCUGCGAAAUCCUGGGGGGACUGGUCUCUGCAUUAACACUCCUCCCAGGCCAUAAGACGAUGCAUCGGCUGAGACAAGUGUUUCUCGCUUUGAACUGUAUUGAGCUAAGACAGUUGGUGAACUCAGCUCUUCCUUUACUGCCUCAAAAGCAGUCUUUUGUUGAAUGUCCCACGUCCAUGUGCAGUCAUUCUUAAGCAAGUCUCUUAGGGGUUUUGUGAGAGUGGGCAGAUGAGGUGAAAACUUGCCGACAUAAUUCACCAUACCCAUGAAGCGCCUCACGCCUUCAAUGUUUUGUGGUUCGGGCAUGUUCAGAAUUGCUUUAAUUUUGUCUGGAUCAGC
ensembl:lncRNA